AUAGCCAUUAUUUAUACGUUAAAGGUUUCAUUGAACUUAAGAAGGAUACAUAAAAAGGUUAUGGUGUAGUGUGUAAGUGGGUGGUCAUAAUUUUACACAUGACUUACAUCUGUUGUGUGUAGCGUACAUUCACAGGCAACGCUUGGUUAGUCAGGAGAGAGGCCAGGUAAACUUGAUUCGCACAGUCAGCCUCGUUCCGUUGAAGUUGAUGAUGCUAAGUUAAACUAGUCAGUAGUCUUGCAUCGGUCAGCGCACGGUACGCACGUAUCUCAAUCACGUGCAACAACCAACUUGUUUACAAAUAAAAGCCAGUGUAAACUCUAAGGAGUAUAGCUGAGACAGUGGCAUUGGUGCCCACGCUUGUUUUGUCGGAGCAGGCGCCUGCGUUACGGAACUGACUUUUAUAUAGACAAGUACUUAAUCGAUUUUGUGAUCAGUCUGUACUUCCGAAGA